rnacentral:rRNA from 1 species
CCUACGGGGGGCAGCAGUAGGGAAUUUUCGGCAAUGGGGGGAACCCUGACCGAGCAACGCCGCGUGAACGAAGAAGGUAUUCGUAAUGUAAAGUUCUUUUAACAGGGAAGAAAGAGAAAUUUGACGGUACCUGAAGAAUAAGCUCCGGCUAACUACGUGCCAGCCGACGCGGUAAUAUGUAGGGAGCGAGCGUUAUCCGGAUUUAUUGGGCGAAAAGGGUGCGUAGAUGGCAUAGUAAGUCUGUUGUAAAAACGCUGGGUUAAACCCAGGAGGGCAAAAGAUACUGCAAAGCUAGAGUAUGACAGAGGCAAGUGGAACUACAUGUGUAGCGGUGAAAUGCGUAAAUAUAUGUAAGAACACCAGUGGCGAAGGCGGCUUGCUGGGUCGAUACUGACAUUGAGGCACGAAAGCGUGGGGAGCAAACAGGAUUAGAUACCCUUGUAGUC